GAUGAAGAACGCAGCGAAAUGCGAUACGUAGUGUGAAUUGCAGAAUUCAGUGAAUCAUCGAAUCUUUGAACGCACAUUGCACCUCUCGGUAUUCCGGGAGGUAUGCCUGUUCGAGCGUCAUUUGUACCCUCAAGCUCUGCUUGGUGUUGGGUGUUUGUUCCGCCUCUGUGUGUGAACUCGCCUCAAAACAAUUGGCAGCCGGCGUACUUGUUUCGGAGCGCAGCACAUUUUGCGAUCCAGAUCAACGUACAGCGGCAUCCAAGAAGCCUUAUUUAACGCUCUUGACCUCGGAUCAGGUAGGGAUACCCGCUGAACUUAAGCAUAUCAAUGGAGGA
rnacentral:misc_RNA from 1 species